AUUGAACGCUGGCGGCAUGCUUUACACAUGCAAGUCGAACGGGAACAGGCCUUCGGGCGCUGACGAGUGGCGAACGGGUGAGUAAUGCAUCGGAACGUGCCCAGUCGUGGGGGAUAACUAUCCGAAAGGAUAGCUAAUACCGCAUACGAUCUGCGGAUGAAAGCGGGGGACCUUCGGGCCUCGCGCGAUUGGAGCGGCCGAUGUCAGAUUGGGUAGUUGGUGGGGUAAAGGCUAACCGAGCCAACGAUCUGUAGCUGGUCUGAGAGGAAGACCAGCCACACUGGAACUGAGACACGGCCAAGACUCAUACGGGAGGCAGCAGUGGGGAAGUUUGGACAAUGGGCGCAAGCCUGAUCCAGCAAUGCCGCGUGCAGGAAGAAGGCCUUCGGGUUGUAAACUGCUUUUGUACGGAACGAAACGGCUCUGGUUAAUACCCGGGGCUAAUGACGGUACCGUAAGAAUAAGCACCGGCUAACUACGUGCCAGCCGCCGCCGUAAAAC
rnacentral:rRNA from 1 species